GGGGUUGUAGCUCAGUGAUAGAGCACUUGCCUUGCAUGCUUGAGGUCCUGGGUUCAAUCCUCAGCACCA
rnacentral:tRNA from 1 species